rnacentral:misc_RNA from 1 species
UGCUCUCUUCAUACUUAAAUAGCUAUAAGCAUGUGUCCUGUCCCUUUUUAUCAUAAUCUACAUGAUCUGCUCCUAGUUAAUUAAUUAUUUCAAUAUCCUCAUACAACAAACUACUUAAAUGAAGUAUGAUUCUAUUUUUUAUAUCCUGCAUUCUAACAGUAAUAUUGAAAGCUAAAGGCAAUUAUGCAACUAGUUGUAUAUUAGUGAGCUACUAAUGCUAUAACAUUAAUUUCACCUUAUUUUUUUGAACCUGGGAGAUAUGAGGGCCUG